rnacentral:rRNA from 1 species
UACGUAGGGUGCAAGCGUUAAUCGGAAUUACUGGGCGUAAAGCGUGCGCAGGCGGCUAUGCAAGACAGAUGUGAAAUCCCCGGGCUCAACCUGGGAACUGCAUUUGUGACUGCAUGACUAGAGUACGGUAGAGGGGGAUGGAAUUCCGCGUGUAGCAGUGAAAUGCGUAGAUAUGCGGAGGAACACCGAUGGCGAAGGCAAUCCCCUGGACCUGUACUGACGCUCAUGCACGAAAGCGUGGGGAGCAAACAGG